UACGGAGGGUGCAAGCGUUGUCCGGAUUUAUUGGGUUUAAAGGGUGCGUAGGCGGCAGAUUAAGUCAGCGGUGAAAUUCCACAGCUCAACUGUGGAACUGCCAUUGAUACUGGUUUGCUUGAGUACAGAUGAGGUAGGCGGAAUUGACAGUGUAGCGGUGAAAUGCUUAGAUAUUGUCAAGAACACCUAUUGCGAAGGCGCUUACUAAGCUGUAACUGACGCUGAGGCACGAAAAGCGUGGGGAUCAAACAGG
rnacentral:rRNA from 1 species